CCGCCCGUCGCACCAUGGGAGUUGGCUUUACCUGAAGACGGUGCGCUAACCAGCAAUGGAGGCAGCCGGCCACGGUAGGGUCAGCGACUGGAGUG
rnacentral:rRNA from 1 species